rnacentral:rRNA from 1 species
AGCAGCCGCGGUAAUUCCAGCUCCAAUAGCGUAUAUUAAAGUUGUUGCAGUUAAAAAGCUCGUAGUUGAACUUCGGGGUUCACCCAUUGGUCAGGCUUAAUUGUCUGUACUGGUGAGAUGAGUCUCUACCUUCUGAGGAACUUUCAUGCCAUUUGUUUGGUGUGAUUGGAAAUCAGGACUGUUACUUUGAAAAAUUAGAGUGUUUAAAGCAGGCUAACGUCUGAAUACAUUAGCAUGGAAUAAUGAAAUAGGACGGAUUGAUUCUAUUUCGUUGGUUUCUAGGGUCACCGUAAUGAUUAAUAGGGAUAGUUGGGGGCAUUAGUAUUCAAUUGUCAGAGGUGAAAUUCUUGGAUUUAUUGAAGACUAACUACUGCGAAAGCAUUUGCCAAGGAUGUUUUCAUUAAUCAAGAACGAAAGUUAGGGGAUCGAAGACGAUCAGAUACCGCCGUAGUCUUAACCAUAAACUAUGCCGACUAGGGAUCGGACGCAGUUAAUUUUAUAAUGACGUGUUCGGCUACCG